UUAGUACUCCUUCCGUCCGAAAAUACUUGUCGAAGAAAUGAAUGUAUCUAGACGUAUUUUAGUUCUAAAUACAUUCACUUAGAUCAAUUUCUUAAACAAAUAUUUCGGGACGGAGGGAGUAUCUA
rfam:Triticum aestivum genome assembly, contig: Triticum_aestivum_CS42_TGACv1_scaffold_130128_2BL